AGCAAUUUCAGCAUUCAAGUGGUCAGCCAGCACAUCUAAUAAGCUGAAGAACAGGAAACAAGAGGAUUUUGCUAACUUUACAAUCACAGAGACAGAGAAAGAGAGGAAGAGAAGAAGGGAAGACGGGAUGUAAUUGCAAGGAAUUUGUAAUAGAAUUUCAGAGAGUUGUGGGAAUCACAAGUAGUUGUCCCGCACACUUGCCUUGAAGAACAGUUUAUUGUUUGAGACAACAACCAGUAGCAGAGAAGUGUUUGUAAUAUUAUCUGGAAAUGAAUUAAGGAGUCCAACAGCGCAUCAGGACUCAUGGAAGAAAGGAAAGAAGGAUGGAUAACAUUAUUUUCUUUAAUGAUUUUACUCUAUGACUCUGAUACAUAGAAGAUAUGAAGAAUGUUUUAUUUUUCUGUAUCCCUCAUGUGUAUUACUGUUGACAGUUUCAUUAGCUUUUCUGAUUGCUUCAACUUUACCUGGAUU